GAACUCUGGAGAAUCUCUUAAAUGAGUGCCGAAGGUGCAAGGCCGCCAUGAUCGCCCGGGUCACGCGUCCGUGACGAGGGCAGGCAGCCGAAUCUCUCAGGCAAACGGACAGAGACG
rnacentral:ncRNA from 1 species